rnacentral:rRNA from 1 species
GAUGAACGCUGGCGGCGUGCCUAAUACAUGCAAGUCGAACGCAUAGCGAAAGGUGCUUGCACCUUUCAAGUGAGUGGCGAACGGGUGAGUAACACGUGGACAACCUGCCUCAAGGCUGGGGAUAACAUUUGGAAACAGAUGCUAAUACCGAAUAAAACUUAGUGUCGCAUGACACAAAGUUAAAAGGCGCUUCGGCGUCACCUAGAGAUGGAUCCGCGGUGCAUUAGUUAGUUGGUGGGGUAAAGGCCUACCAAGACAAUGAUGCAUAGCCGAGUUGAGAGACUGAUCGGCCACAUUGGGACUGAGACACGGCCCAAACUCCUACGGGAGGCUGCAGUGGGGAAUCUUCCACAAUGGGCGAAAGCCUGAUGGAGCAACGCCGCGUGUGUGAUGAAGGCUUUCGGGUCGUAAAGCACUGUUGUAUGGGAAGAACAGCUAGAAUAGGAAAUGAUUUUAGUUUGACGGUACCAUACCAGAAAGGGACGGCUAAAUACGUG